rnacentral:rRNA from 1 species
UACAGAGGUCUCAAGCGUUGUUCGGAUUCAUUGGGCGUAAAGGGCGCGUAGGUGGCGCUGCAAGUCAACGGUGAAAGCUCGACGCUUAACGUCGAGUCGGCCGUCGAAACUGCAGCGCUCGAGCACUGUAGAGGCUCAUGGAAUUCCGGGUGUAGCGGUGGAAUGCGUAGAGAUCCGGAAGAACACCGGUGGCGAAGGCGGUGAGCUGGGCAGUUGCUGACACUGAUGCGCGACAGCGUGGGGAGCAACAGG